AAGUAAGAAACCAAAGAGAAUCUGCAGGCUCGUGUGGCCGGAUGACACUGCUGUGAUUGGAAGCACGUUUCAGACAUCAGGUCAACUUCAUCAAGCCCUGGGGGUAACCAACACCCCGAUCAGGAAGCAGAGCACUGCCUGCGCCCCAGGUACUCCCCUCGCGCUUUCAGCGUCACGCUCUGCCCCUCAAGUUUUCACCCAGGAAGCCUCACGUGGACUCGAGGACACUUUGGAGCUGUCGCCCGACCAUAAGGAC